CAUGAGGACUGAUUAAACAGAAGCUCCUAAAAGGAUUAUCAGCAGGCACACGGCUCCCAGUGCCCACCAGCUGAGUACCGCCUCCUGGGGUGUGAAGAGGGAUCCUGUUAUGGUGUUACUUCCGGCCACUGUGUAAGUCAGCCCAUGCACACAAUCCCUCUGACAUCCCAGCUAACCUGGGGGAGCAGACUGCGAAGGAAUAAUUACUUUGGCUUUUAAGAACUGCUAGGAUUCAGCACUAUUUCCUACCCCCUUUGCCAAUAGGUUGUCCCACAGGGAUUUUCACCUCGGUGUUUCUGGUUCCCCCUCCAGAAAUAUCCUUUUCUCUCACCAUUCGCUGUGGAGACCUACAAUCCGGCCCCAAAAGCCAUUUCCUUUUCAAAGCCUCACUGGGCAGAUUGCACAACGUGAUGGUUUCUGGAUCACAUCAAGGCUGCACACAGGCUUCUUUCGCAGUGGGAUACUCAGGUGGGAGAUUGCACAUACUCUGAUUCCCUUUCAGGAAGUCAUAGAAGAAGAUUAGGACCCAGCGAGCAGGAAGUCUUUCAUAGAAGAAAGAUUAAGACCCACAGAAUAAGUCAGCCUGUGGUAACCAAGAGGGUCUCCACUUCGUGAGGUAAUUUCUUUAGCUUGUUGAUCUAUAUGUUGAUAUGAUAUAUAUGUUGGUCUAUACUUUUUAAAUGGUAUAAAAAACAAAAAACUCACUGUACAGUAAAAGCAAAAGAGAACAUAUUUCUU
rnacentral:lncRNA from 12 species